GUGGUGUGGCUCAGUGGUAGAUUGGUUGCUUAGCAUUGCUCUGGCCUUGGGUUCAAUCCCCAAAUAACACA
rnacentral:tRNA from 1 species